AACCAACCCAGAGAACCCACAGAUACAGCAAACAUAUGUACAUGACUGCAAUAAGGUAAAGCAAGUAAAUAAAUAAAUGUACAAAAGAAUAAACACCCAACAAAUAAGAAACCACAAAAGCUAGGAGGGACUCGCAUAGGGAAACCAGGUCCCCAGUAGAGUCGCCAACUGUCGCAACCUAAAAAAAUAGAGAUGUGCGAAAAAAAACAACCGGCAAAAAAGAAAU
rnacentral:lncRNA from 1 species